rnacentral:sRNA from 1 species
UGCGCGCGCCCGGGCGGCGCGGGGUCUGGGUCUGGGGAUGUGGUACCGUCUGCUGGCGGCGGCCGGCAGUAGAGCGGUGGCCGGGCCGCUGGCCUUGUUGUGGCGAUGUGGUGGCCCAGGAGGCGGCAGGACGGCCAAGACCAGCGCGAGGGCCCUGGGCAAGGCCCGACAGAAGAAGCUAGUAAAGCUCAUCUGGUCUCUUGUUUCAGUGCUUCCAGGGGAUCCACUUUCAGAAGCUGACUCUGCAGGCAAGACCGACGUUAUUUUCCCGGUGGCUGUGUUCAAAACCACCCAAAGGUACCUGUCUUUCAUCCACCAUCAUUAACAGCAUGAGGUUUACAGGAACUGAGUGGCUUCCUCAGAGUGUGACUUCUACAGUGAGUGACCAGGGGGCGAGGAUCCAGACAACUCAGGGCACAUCCCACUCCACCCCGCCCCAUCCUACCCCUUCCUGGCUUCCAUAUUGAGCCACACAACAUCCAACACCUUCUCCAUGUCUUUAUGGUGUUGAUAUCUCACUAAAGCUGGUGAGAGAAAAGCUCUUUCCAAAGGAAGGUGCUAGAUGAAUCUUUUGGAAGGUAUGGGAACAAACCUUGGUUUCUGCAUAUCUGACUCUGAGGACCAGCUAAGCCUCAUGUUUGGAAAGCAGAACAGAAACAAUGUGCAGACUGGCAUUAGCUCAGAGCACACUUGCCCACUUGGAGUCCUUCUGUAGGCCAUGGACCUGUGCUUUGUGCUUUGUGUCCAGGGACAGUGUUCACUGAAGCCCCUGGAGACCCUGUGUCUCCACAGAGUAGAAGGUGCUCCCUGCACUUGCCUCAGUGUUAGGACCUGAGGGCACAUGCCGAUUGUAUGAAGCAAGAAGAGAGGCAGGAGGAGGGAAAACUGGCGUCUCUCUCACUUUCUCUAUAUCGUCUUGACAGUACGGUUGCUUUUCUUGGUGUGAUUCUGUCUUCUAAAAUAUUAGAACCAGGCUGGGCGCCACCGUCUGUAAUCCCAGCACUUUGGGAGG